rnacentral:rRNA from 1 species
ACGAACGCUGGCGGCGUGCUUAACACAUGCAAGUCGAACGGAAAGGCCCUGCUUUUGUGGAGUGCUCGAGUGGCGAACGGGUGAGUAACACGUGAGUAACCUGCCCUUGACUUUGGGAUAACUUCAGGAAACUGGGGCUAAUACCGGAUAGGAGCUCCUGCUGCAUGGUGGGGGUUGGAAAGUUUCGGCGGUUGGGGAUGGACUCGCGGCUUAUCAGCUUGUUGGUGGGGUAGUGGCUUACCAAGGCUUUGACGGGUAGCCGGCCUGAGAGGGUGACCGGCCACAUUGGGACUGAGAUACGGCCCAGACUCCUACGGGAGGCAGCAGUGGGGAAUAUUGCACAAUGGGCGGAAGCCUGAUGCAGCAACGCCGCGUGCGGGAUGACGGCCUUCGGGUUGUAAACCGCUUUCGCCUGUGACGAAGCGUGAGUGACGGUAAUGGGUAAAGAAGCACCGGCUAACUACGUG